ACACCAUCCUUGCUUGAUCGUCGUUGCUCCACACCCGGUGCCACCUCUGCAUUCAGGUUCACUCACCCUCGUCCUCCGUUCAGUCGGCUGGGCUCAUCCUCCGGUCUUCUCCUCCUUGGACUUCCCCCACAGCGUCCUCCCAGUUCUCCUCCGCUUCCUCUGCCCCAGUGUUCCUCGGCCCUCUGGUCCCAGUCUCCUCGGUUCCCCUGUGUUUCCCCGGCAUCCACCUCUCCCUCGACUCCAGUCCCUCACCCCCUUUUCCCAAUAAAACCUGUCAAAACUGAA